AACGAACGCUGGCGGCAUGCCUAACACAUGCAAGUCGAACGAGAUCCUUCGGGGUUUAGUGGCGCACGGGUGCGUAACGCGUGGGAAUCUGCCCUUUGGUUCGGAAUAACAGCUGGAAACGGCUGCUAAUACCGGAUGAUGACGUAAGUCCAAAGAUUUAUCGCCAGAGGAUGAGCCCGCGUUGGAUUAGGUAGUUGGUGGGGUAAAGGCCUACCAAGCCGACGAUCCAUAGCUGGUCUGAGAGGAUGAUCAGCCACACUGGGACUGAGACACGGCCCAGACUCCUACGGGAGGCAGCAGUGGGGAAUAUUGGACAAUGGGCGAAAGCCUGAUCCAGCAAUGCCGCGUGAGUGAUGAAGGCCCUAGGGUUGUAAAGCUCUUUUACCCGGGAAGAUAAUGACUGUACCGGGAGAAUAAGCCCCGGCUAACUCCGUGCCAGCAGCCGCCGUAA
rnacentral:rRNA from 1 species